rnacentral:rRNA from 1 species
AUGAAAUCAGGAGAAGCCACCAAGCUCGACCGCAUUCGUACCCCGGUACUGCACGUUGUUGAUGACCAGCGUGGGCAGGAUGGUGACGUCGCCUCGAUCCCCCUGCCCGACCUGCACGACCUGCUCCGUCCGGAGCACGUCGUUGUCGGCGUCGGCGUCGGGGUCGCCCAUGCACUUGUCGAUCAGCUCCGCCGGCAGGCCCAGCGACGCCACCACCUCCUCGGCGCACCCGCGGGAGUACCUCUUCUCCCGCAUGGAGCACCGCACGCGGUAGUCGGCCACGAAGUCCCACCACGCCCACGACGCGUUGCGGGCGUUGGCCACCCGGUGCACGCACAGCUGCCGGAGGUUCUCCAGCACCACGUCGCGGCCCCGGUAGCCGGCGCCCAGGUCCCCCUCCGGGUCCGGCGCGCAGUAGCGGCCGCGGUUGAUGCACUGCGACGCGCACUGCCGCGUGCCCCGGUACUCGUCGGGGCAGAACCACGUGAUGUAGUGCGGCGUGAAGAGCGCGUCGCCGGCCUUCUCCAGCAGCUGCGCGUGGCCCCGGAACGCCGCCACGAACGCCGCCUGCUCGUCGCACCGCGGCCCGCACUCGUCGUUGCUGUUGGUCCAGAACUCGUACUCCACCCGCGCGUCCGGGUUCGGCAUCGACUCGCGCCAGUCGAGGCGGACCACCACCUCGGCGCCGCCGGAGUCGGAGGCGGCGGCGCGGAGCGCGUCGCCGAAGGGCUUGGAGACGAGCGCGGAGGGGGCGGUGAUGUUGGCCAGGAAGGCCAUGUCGGGGGUCUCCUCCUCCGGGGUGUCCAUGGUCAGCAGCGGCUCCUCCACGCUAUCGGCCACCAGCACCGCCGCCGCGCCCGCCUGCUGCGCGUGCCACGUCUUGAGCGCGAAGUAGCAGCCGCCGCGGUCCACCAGGAGCACCACGGGCCGGCCGGACCGCGACUUGAACGCCGUCGCCCCGAACGGCUUGCACCCGUUGGCCUGCCCCGCGUCCGCCGGGUACAGCACCACGCCGGUCAGCGUGCCGCCGUAGUCGGGGACGCCGUAGUUGGCGAUGGCGGCCUCGUGGCGGCCCCGUAG